rnacentral:rRNA from 1 species
AGUGAACGCUGGCGGUAGGCCUAACACAUGCAAGUCGAACGGAAGCACAGUAAGAGCUUGCUCUUACGGGUGGCGAGUGGCGGACGGGUGAGGAAUACAUCGGAAUCUACUUUUUCGUGGGGGAUAACGUAGGGAAACUUACGCUAAUACCGCAUACGACCUACGGGUGAAAGCAGGAGAUCUUCGGACCUUGCGCGAUUGAAUGAGCCGAUGUCGGAUUAGCUAGUUGGCGGGGUAAAGGCCCACCAAGGCGACGAUCCGUAGCUGGUCUGAGAGGAUGAUCAGCCACACUGGAACUGAGACACGGUCCAGACUCCUACGGGAGGCAGCAGUGGGGAAUAUUGGACAAUGGGCGCAAGCCUGAUCCAGCCAUACCGCGUGGGUGAAGAAGGCCUUCGGGUUGUAAAGCCCUUUUGUUGGGAAAGAAAAGCAGCAGGUUAAUACCCCGCUGUUCUGACGGUACCCAAAGAAUAAGCACCGGCUAACUUCGUG